UUUACGAUACUUCAAUCCCCUUUGAGGAUACAGCUACUAACAACAGCCAUAGGUUUAGGAUCACAGUACAUACAUGAUUCUGCUGAUACAGAAUGAGGG